AUUCUACUAGAGUAAUGUUUUUCUGAAUUGUAACUGGCACCAGUUAAUCAGAAUCAAACGUGUAUCUUGUUACAAAUAAACAUUUUAAUAAUCUUUGAAAAUACUCUAAAAUUCUUCGACGGAAUAGUAUCACAUACGUAUAUUACAAAUUUUCAGAUUGUUACAAACAGUAAUCAAAUGUUAAUUUCAAAAUAAUUUAUUUUUAACGUAAUUCAUUUAUCGCAAAGUAUUUUCAUUUUUUAACUUCUUUAUUAAUCAUUCUGUUCUUCAACAAAUUCUACUAAAAUUAUUCUAAAAUAUCUGAUAUUUAUAUGAAUAUGUCUCACACACACAUACAAAACUUGGAUGCACUUCGACAUUCACAACUAAGAGGUUAAUGUAGUUCUGAAUAUUUGUACACAUUCUUAUUCCAAGAUAAACAAUCGAUUUUAUCAACGUUUACAAGGUUUUACAGUAGAAAACAUAAUUAUUAUUACUUCCUAUAAGGAUAUGUGCAAGAAUCUCUAUAAAAUUUAUCACUAUACCUAUAUAUAUAUAUACCAAUGUUGUUUAUACUAAUGAUCAAGGAACAAUACAAGGAUUUAUAAAAAAAAAGUUAGUAUAAUCAAGAUUUAGCAAGAAUUACAUGCAAACUUACCUUAGAAAAGAACUGACUGUUUAAACUUUAUUACGGUAAGCUAAUUAAAAACAAUAAUGUAAAUAGUGACGAUAUAAAUGACUGAUUUAAAUUUGGAGAUUAUACAUUGUCUGGUAAGCAGAAAAAGGAGAGUACAAAUUGAAUUUCGGCUAAUAUAAUAUAUCUACAUUCAAAAUCUAACACCUAAUCUACGUCAUACCAUGUAAUGCGUCAUCAGUGCUACAUUAUUCAUAUAAAUAAUAUAAAUCAUUUAUAAAUUAAGAUAUGCAAUAAACAAUUAUAGUUAUUUCUCAGAUGUGUAUAUGAAACUAUAAUAUACAUUAAUAUUUAGAUUAUUUUAUUAAAUUAUAUUAAGAAUGUAUUGAAUCAUAAUAUGUAUAUUUAUAUUUGGAAAACUUUCUUCCUAUGUUAGUUACUACGCUAACUAUCAUUCAUGAAUGUGAAUAUCAUAUAUUACAUCCAUGUAUCUAAAAAUUUCAAAGCAACUAAAUUUUGAUACUCUUAAAUGAACAUUAACAGAGGACUACUACAUUUCAUAUUAGAAGAUUUCUAAAAUUUUUGUAAACUGUACAAAAACUUUGUUUAACACAGGGAUCAACAAAUCCAUCUAUGUGGUAUCAGGGAUUAAUAUCCAUUGGGGAAAAAAGAGUUACUAGGCCUCGGGAUAGCGAAAACCAAAGGGACAAGGUUUUAGUUACUGGUUAUAACAGAACUGAAAAACAGGGGCUUGUAGAAUAUCUUUAUUUUCUGUUGUCAUGAUCUGAAGUUUAUUCUCAAAUGCAUAUGCAGAUUUUUAUUGUUCAUGAGGUCCAUAGUGUUAUUAUAUUAUACAUAUCUUCGAAACACGUAAAACUGUAAGUGAUACAUCUCAGAAAAUGAUUGAUAUCAAAAAUGAUAUUGAUGCAGUGUUAAAUGUCAGCAAUAAAUACUUAUCCGACUUGUGUAUAAAACAACGCUGUUGUGUAUAAAACACUCGCUGUGCUACAUAGGUUGGCAAAGAUAAAGUGAAUUUAUAGCACCCACACGUUAAAGAGUCGCAGAAAGAGCCUUAAACGACGUUUGAAAAAACAACUGAUAGGAAAAAAUAGCUAAUAAUAUCAUUAAUGCUAUCAAAUAGCUGUGCAAAUAGCAUUGCGCAAUAUCAACAAAAUGCGAUAGCUUUUCCUGAAUGUUGAAUAAGUGCUUUCUGUAUUUGUAUAAUAUAUCUGAAAAAUUAAUGAUAAUUAUCAUGAACUGAAAAUCUGCAAUGACCCAACUUAUGUUGAUGUUUAGAGACUGGUCAUCGGAUUAAUGAUGGAGUCAUUAUACACAAAAGUUUUUAUAAAAUCUAAUCAGGUAAAAUAAAUAAGUGAUAUUAUGUUUGCACAUUCAGUAUCUACAUUUAAAACUGUUAACAUUUUUAAUGAAAAUAUGGAAGGAAAUUUGCAUACAAUUUGGAAUGAACGCAGACUAUAAAAACAAACCAGGAAACGAUGAGGAAAGAAAUAUUGUUUUUGAAUUAACGAAAAAAUUAGUGGUUAUGAUUUUACAUAUACAAGUACAUAUCUUACUAAUAUAACAUACAGGAUGUUUCAGAAAUACAAGUCAAUAUUGGAGGAAAUAAAUGUACAUACUAAGUAAGUAAAAAGUCUCUUAUGAUGGUAGCCAGAAAAAUAAGCUAAUUUCGGAUUGGACAACAUUAUAAUUCUGAACUACAAAUAUGAUGCAGAACUGCAGAUGGGUUUGCUUUUUUAUAAUGAAAUUAAAUUAUAAUUAAAUUAUAUAUUUAUAUAUAAUAUUAUAUAAUAUAAGUUACAAAUGAAAAUCAUUAUUUGUUAGAAAUUAUAUAAUUACACAUCAUCAUCGCCUGACAUUUAAUCUUGUACAAUUAUAUCGUUUAAUUCA